rnacentral:rRNA from 1 species
AGUGAACGCUGGCGGUAGGCCUAACACAUGCAAGUCGAACGGCAGCACAGUAAGAGCUUGCUCUUACGGGUGGCGAGUGGCGGACGGGUGAGGAAUACAUCGGAAUCUACUUUUUCGUGGGGGAUAACGUAGGGAAACUUACGCUAAUACCGCAUACGACCUACGGGUGAAAGCAGGGGAUCUUCGGACCUUGCGCGAUUGAAUGAGCCGAUGUCGGAUUAGCUAGUUGGCGGGGUAAAGGCCCACCAAGGCGACGAUCCGUAGCUGGUCUGAGAGGAUGAUCAGCCACACUGGAACUGAGACACGGUCCAGACUCCUACGGGAGGCAGCAGUGGGGAAUAUUGGACAAUGGGCGCAAGCCUGAUCCAGCCAUACUGCGUAGGUGAAGAAGGCCUUCGGGUUGUAAAGCCCUUUUGUUGGGAAAGAAAAGCAGCAGGUUAAUACCCCGCUGUUCUGACGGUACCCAAAGAAUAAGCACCGGCUAACUUCGUG